rnacentral:rRNA from 1 species
AACGAACGCUGGCGGCGCGUCUUACACAUGCAAGUCGAACGGCAGGAAGGGGCUUGCCCCUUCUGAGAGUGGCGGACUGGUGAGUAACACGUGGGUGACAUACCUUUUAGUUGGGGAUAGCUAUUAGAAAUAGUAGGUAAUACCGAAUGUGACCGUACCUGUUAGAGGGGUACGAGGAAAGGAGCUAAGGCUUCGCUAAAAGAAUGGCUCGCGGCCCAUUAUGCUCGUUGGUGAGGUAACGGCCCACCAAGGCGAUGAUGGGUAUCCGGCCUGAGAGGGUGAACGGACACAUUGGGACUGAGAUACGGCCCAGAAUUCUACGGGAGGCAGCAGUUAAGAAUAUUCCGCAAUGGACGAAAGUCUGACGGAGCGACGCCGCGUGGAUGAAGAAUGCCGAAAGGUUGUAAAAUCCUUUUAAGCCUGAUGAAUAAGCACAGUAGGGAAUGAUUGUGAGGUGACCGUAGGGCUUGAAUAAGCACCGGCUAAUUACGUG